GCAGUCGUGGUAGAGUGGUCAAGGCGAUGGACUAGAAAUCCAUUGGGGUCUCCCCGCACAGGUUCGAAUCCUGUCGACUGCG
rnacentral:tRNA from 1 species